rnacentral:misc_RNA from 1 species
GGCGGCUCUCCUUGCAAAGCUGCGGGAGUACAAAUCUGAUUUGAAUAAUCUGAAGACUGAGCUUAAGAGGAUAACAUCUGGUAACUCUAACCAAGCUUCGAGAGAGGAGCUUUUGGAGUCUGGAACGGCCGAUACCCUAGCGGUCUCUGCAGACCAAAGAGGCAGGCUAUUAAUGUCAACUGAGAGACUCAACCAUUCCAGCGAAAGGAUCAAAGAGAGUAGAAGAACAAUGCUGGA